AGACGUUCUCGGCGGAUGGUGUGACCAUCACCAUCCAGGGCGUCAGCAUCCAUCCGGGCUUCGCCAAGGGGAAGAUGGAGCACGCGCUCAAGAUCGCCUCCCGCAUCGUCGACCGGCUGCCGAAGGACCUUGCCCCGGAAACCACCGAGGGCCGUGAAGGCUUCCUGCAUCCGGUCGGGCUUCAGGGCGGCCUCGACAGCGCCGUGCUGUCGCUGAUCGUGCGUG
rnacentral:misc_RNA from 1 species